CUGAGUCAUCCUGAACUAUUAAGGAUCCAACACUUCCAAUGACAGGCUCAGAUUUGUUGCUGACAGCAUGAGACACAAUGUAGAUGCCUCUUACAGGGAUGCAUUUGGUAACUUAUUACAAGAAACUUCACGUUUGUGACUGACUGGUCAGUGUUCUUUGGCCUCGCAGAGUGAAUCACAUCACCAUGAGACCUCAUUUUUCCUGACAUUUUGCUCAUCAUUAUAUGGGCUUCAUCAGAUGACUCCAUCAGAUGGUGGGCGAAAUGAGACCGAGAUGUGCCACAAUAUGAAUCCUCCGCCCCCACCACCAAGAAAGCAUUGCACCCAUCAAGACGGGCCACCA